GAUGAACGCUGGCGGCGUGCUUAACACAUGCAAGUCGAACGGGAUCCAUCAGGCUUUGCUUGGUGGUGAGAGUGGCGAACGGGUGAGUAAUGCGUGACCGACCUGCCCCAUUCACCGGAAUAGCUCCUGGAAACGGGUGGUAAUGCCGGAUGCUCCAGUUGAUCGCAUGGUCUUCUGGGAAAGCUUUCGCGGUAUGGGAUGGGGUCGCGUCCUAUCAGCUUGACGGCGGGGUAACGGCCCACCGUGGCUUCGACGGGUAGCCGGCCUGAGAGGGCGAGCGGCCACGUUGGGACUGAGAUACGGCCCAGACUCCUACGGGAGGCAGCAGUGGGGAAUAUUGCACAAUGGGCGCAAGCCUGAUGCAGCGAAGCCGCGUGAGGGAUGGAGGCCUUCGGGUUGUAAACCUCUUUUAUCGGGGAGCAAGCGAGAGUGAGUUUACCCGUUGAAUAAGCACCGGCUAACUACGUGCCAGCCGCCGCCGUAA
rnacentral:rRNA from 1 species